GAUAAAAAAAAGUAAUAGAAUGGAAAGGAAAGUUUACUAUCACACAUUUUCAUAAGAUUGUAGAGCGAGAUUUUGAACUGGAAUAGGCUAGCCACAGCCAAACUCAUAGAAUAUGCUUAGCUAUAUUAAUUAUAGUUCACUUUCUUGUGUGAAAAUACUUAGAAACAAAGUUUUGUUGAUGGAAAAACAUAUGCAAACAUACACACACACAGCUAAACUGUCUAUGCAAUAUUUUAAAAAUAAAUUUAAAGUGGCACAAGACAAACAUACAAAAUUAUGCAUUCUGCAUUUAGGUAUUCAAUCAUGAGAUUUAAACAAUGAAAUGUAAAAAUAUUUGUCAGUUUACAAAUUUGGAAACUGAAGCAGACAUUUUAUGAAUAACAAAGAGUAUAACUGGUAUUUAGUGGGAGAGUUCAAAGAACAGGAAAACUCCAAAACUGCUAGGAUUAUUCUGAGCAUACACAGUGAUUGGUUUGCACAGGUAUAGAACAUUUCAGAACAGAAAAAUGGCAGUAAAGAUUCCUGGGAAGGGUGGAAUUUAAAGCUCUUUGGAAUUAAGGUGAUCAUAUUUAAUGCAAUUUCAUCACUGUACUAUAUCAGGUAAACCAGGACUGAUUUUUGAUGGCUGAAUACUUGUUUGACAGGCCAAAGCCCACCACCAUUAGGAAGAUUACAAUACAUGCAAAAGGUGAAUAGGUACAAGUUCCUAAUACUUCCUACUGAUGUUGCAAUUCAGUUUCCUUUCAAGCCAUUUAAUCCUGCUAUGGGGGUGGGAACACUGGUUAUGGAAGAAGGGAA